CCUAUGAUGGGGAUAACAGUUGGAAACGACUGCUAAUACCGAAUACGCUCAUGAUGAACUUUGUGAGGAAAGGUGGCCUCUGCUUGCAAGCUAUCGCAUAGAGAUGAGUCCGCGUCCCAUUAGCUAGUUGGUGGGGUAACGGCCUACCAAGGCAACGAUGGGUAGCCGAUCUGAGAGGAUGAUCGGCCACACUGGAACUGAAACACGGUCCAG
rnacentral:rRNA from 1 species